GGCUCCGGGGUCCCCCACGCACGGCCACCCCUCCCAGCCACCAUCUGGCGCGAGCGGGUUGGCGUGGGGAACCGAGGUGAGGCGGGGGCCGGCAGAUGGGCCCAGGCUGCACUAGCGAGUUAAUGUAGGUUAUGGGCAAGCCGAGUCCCAGGCCCGAGGGAGGGGGAGCUUGGGGCGUACCUCCCGGCGGUCCUGGCAAGUGUUCUUCCAAAUCCUCUCUUUCUGCAUCCUCCAUGCAUCUGUAGACCUGCCCAGAAUGCCAGAGGGUGCUCCUCUCUUCUUGGAGCUGGGCGUGCAACCUCACAUGGCUCUUAGCUUUCCAAAUCCUAGCCUGAGAGUUGGUAAAAACUCUAACGCUGGCACUUGCUUGACUCUCAGGGGAGACGUCUACUUCCACACGGGAUAUCUAUUAUUCUUGGAAGUGGUCUAUCCUCAUACACAUUAAUGUGCCAAAAUAUUUAGCAAAUAGUGAAGGACCAAACAAAAGUUGGAGUCACGAUUUUCCUCAGAAAUUGAGAAUAUGAAUCAUCCACUUAGACAAUUUAUGACCUAGGAAGGAAGGUGUUAAUUUUUUUUCUCUUCCCCAGAAGCACCUGUUUACAAUAUUCCUCGUCAAGACACCACCCUUACUUAGUCUUGGGUCCCUGCUCGAGUUCCCAUCUGCUGGGAUCAAACUUUACCCACAUUGCUAGACAUGAAGGGUUCAAGACGAUGUGCCGGGUGUCUCUCCAGACCACACAGCUGGAACCCUUCUCUGUCAUUCCGUAAUUAGGAGUUCAAGAUCCGACUCUCCAGGUGGAAGAAAGACAAUGCCCUUCUGGUUACUCAGAGGAAUGGAAGGUUGUGAGGCUAGUAGUAGCUGGCCACUACAGAAGAACAUAGUCUCUAGUCAGGGACAGCUGACUCUGACCCUGAUGCAGAUGAUCCAUGGGUCUCUAAGCCAUGUGGUUCUGGGUUCCCAUAAACUACAGCCAUUUCUUGGGCGCACAGCUUCUCAACCCCACGGCACCCUCAACAUUUCCCAACUCUGAAGCCAGAGUAGUGGGGAGGCCAGGCAAAGCCUUUCUCCCUACAAGUCUUCUGCUUCUAGUAUUCCUUCCUCUUGGCCACUGUGCGUGUUACUUCUCAGUUUCUCCCACUAUGCAGAACCAGCCCCCGGAACUGGAAAAAACUUUUGUCUUUCAGCCAUGUCCCCAAACUGGCCACAGGUUACUGGGGUGCGGCUUCGGGCCUCCUUCCCAGCUGGAAGCCUACGAGCGCUCCCCAGGGCCACCAGAGCAGCUCUGAGACCUCCAGCGCGGUGUUAUCUCUCCUCUCGCCCGCUACCCUUCCCAGGGGACAGCGAUCUGGACCUGGCACACAGCACCCGGGCAAUAUGAAGACAACCCGAGGCCACCUUGGGGGCGGGGCACAAAUGAAUUUCAGAGGCAGAGGAAAAGGCCGACAGACAGACGCACUCCUCAGGGAAGAGGCAAGAGGAGCAGAUUGGAGGAGGGGAAAGAGCAGAGAGAGAAAAGUCAAAGUUUCAGGGCCUUUUUUGUAGGCCUGUGAUAAGGUUCUUGCCUGAACAACCCGGAGAAUAGCUGCCUAGGCUUUGACCUUCUAGAGGAUACCUUCUCACCGAGCCAACCCUACUGCUGAUGUUGGUCUUUCAGAACUGUGACCUGCAGAAAGGAAGAGGUGUCACCCUUGGAUGAUCUAAUUAGUGAGGGUGCCGGCCACCCAGAGGGGCUCAGCUUUUCUCAUGCCUCUACGAGAGCCCACCUCCUGGGUUCACUGUCCACUGGCUGAUUGCUCAUGCCUGAUGACCCAACAUAUGUUAUAUAAAGGGUGCCCAAGUGGGCAGGAUUACUGGGCAUGGUAGAGUGCUGCUUGGGUUUCUCCUAAGGCCAGGAAGGCCUCCCAUCGCCUCUUCCAGGGUCCCAGGCACCUGGGAUAGUUUCAGGGCCUGGAAUAGUUUCAUAGUUUCCUUGGCCUUCCCAGAGCGCAUGGAGCCUGGAACUGAGGGGAGUUUUCUUUCUCAUUAAGAGCAUCUAGAGCGGGGUUGGGGAUUUAGCUCAGUGGUAGAGCGCUUGCCUAGCACGUGCAAGGCCCUGAGUUCGGUCCCCAGCUCCG